AUGUUGGUUGAACCUUUCGUCUCCUGGUGGGCGACACCCACUUUCACACCACGUCACCCUUCAACACAGCAUGCCCAGCCUUCUUUGACACCAUUGGAAUAUAAGCAUAAUCAAAUAAUAAUCAAUGCAAUCCUUUAUACGAAAUUGCAAUAAAAACUCUUGGAAAUUUUGGUUUAUUUAACUUUUCAAACUUUUCGAUAACUUCAGUGAUGUUGAUUACAAUACUUACCACCCAAUUAGUACAGAAUGGUGAUGUUUGUUUACAUUGCUCGAUUAGACAUUUUGGCUUUAAAUAAACAUCGCAUAAGUGACAAUUUUAUGACAAAGUGACGAUAUAAGGCGAGGUAUAAGGUAGACGAAAUGGAAUCGGAAGUAUCCGUCUCCAAACCGAGCAAAAUUGCAGCUUUGAUUAGGGAAACAGAGUAAACCUAUCAAGGAUGUUGGUCGAGGACAAUUUAUCUUCGGAAUGCCAUAACCGAGCCGACGUACAACGCUACGUUUAGCUUCCAAAGUCCGAAAUGCUCUUCCUGCAUACGCUUUUCCCGCGACUAAUAGUACAUCAGUUUCACCUCUGAUGACACCUUCUGGAUUUGGUUUCUCAACUUCGCCAAUAAACAGUCACCACAACAAAAACGGCUUCGUUUAUUCCAAGUUUAAUCACUGGCGUCGACAUCCAGACAGGACGCUCCAAAAGAGGUUACUCGAUGCUAUUUCGACAAACACAUCGUGAGGUAGCCCACAAAACACGUUGAGCAUAGCCCGUCUAUUCCAACCUUCGGCAUUGGUUCUGGAUUAAUACUUUUUAACCCCUAUCACCUACAGCUGGAACAACGACUAAACCCGCGGCUGUUUCAUUGUUUGGAAUCAUUUCUGCAGCAAUGUCCGGCUCAACAUCACCAACAUUCCGACUGCUGGUGCAUUCUUUUUCGGAACAAGUUGCAUUUCUUAAAUCUACAACCGCAGCGGCAUCCACGACAAUGACCGCUACUGGAUUCUCUUCCGGAAGAGCGUUGGAUUGUGGCGCCACAUCGGUAACGGCAGCACCUAUUUUCUGUGUCUCCUCCGCGACACCGAAAUUCGAUUUUAGUCAAUUCCUACCGCUGCCAUGGGUUAUAUCUUUUAGAACUGCACGACCACUACGACAAGCACUAUCACUCCUAUUACGGCAACUCCGCCAUUCGGAAGUAUAUCCCCAGCAUUUCCACGGAGCCGUCUGCAUCGUCUGCAUAUGCUAGUUUUUCGUUCGGAAAUACCGUCACAACAUCACCGGUCACAAACACGACAGUAACCCUAGUCGCGGCCACCAGCAGACACGUCUUUGGUAGCGAGAUCAACAGCGGCUCGAAAGCUUCGUGGCGAGUGUCGUUUCGGUACCAGUCCGACACUGGUAUUUGGUGCCACCAUCUCGCGACAACGAUGGCUACUGGCUUUUGAGCAUCUUCAAUUUUUGAGCCCGGCCCCGGAUCGUUAGCCACAUCCGACAAUUCGGCUAAUUCAAGCAUCGUCGUAUUUGGUUACAUCGCCUUUUAUUGGGACCAAUUCAACACUGGCAGCAUGAGCCCGAAGAAUUCUAAGACGAAUCGUGACUAGAAACUGUACAUACUUUGGACUCCGCAUCACACUUCGUUCGUAAAGAAUUUACUGGACAAUACUCGUGGAAAGCCAAAACGCACUUAAAGAUUUUUUUAUUGGAAGGCUGCGUACUAGAUUAAAAUUAAAUUUGAAUUAAUUAAAUUAAAAUCAAGUAAAUUAAAAAUAAUUUAAAAUUCAGUUAAAAAAUAAAUAAAAUAAAUUAUUAAAUUAAAA